rnacentral:rRNA from 1 species
AUUGAACGCUGGCGGCAUGCUUUACACAUGCAAGUCGAACGGUAGACCCUUUCGGGGGUUGAGAGUGGCGAACGGGUGAGUAAUGCAUCGGAACGUGCCUAGUCGUGGGGGAUAACGUAGCGAAAGUUACGCUAAUACCGCAUACGCACUGAGGUGGAAAGCGGGGGACCGUAAGGCCUCGCGCGAUUGGAGCGGCCGAUGUCGGAUUAGCUAGUUGGUGAGGUAAAGGCUCACCAAGGCGACGAUCCGUAGCGGGUCUGAGAGGAUGAUCCGCCACACUGGGACUGAGACACGGCCCAGACUCCUACGGGAGGCAGCAGUGGGGAAUCUUGCGCAAUGGGGGCAACCCUGACGCAGCCAUGCCGCGUGAAUGAUGAAGGCCUUAGGGUUGUAAAGUUCUUUUGCCCGUGACGAUGAUGACGGUAACGGGAGAAUAAGCUCCGGCUAACUUCGUG